GAUGAACGCUGGCGGCGUGCCUAAUACAUGCAAGUCGAGCGAACAGACGAGGAGCUUGCUCCUCUGACUUUAUCGGCCGACGGGUGAGUAACACUUGGAUAACCUACCUAUAAGACUGUGAUACCUUUGGGAAAUCUGAGCUACUACCGGAUAAUUUAUUGAACUUCAUGGUUCAAUAGUGAAAUUCGGUUUUUCUGUCACUUAUAGCUGGAUCCGCGCCGCAUUAGCUAGUUGGGUAGGUAACGGAUUACCAAGGCAACGAUGCGUAGCCGACCUGAGAGGAUGAGCAGCAGCAGUGGAGAGGAGACAAGGUCCAAACUUCGAAGGGAGGCAGCAGUAAGGAACCUUCGGCAAGGGGCGGAAGCGUGACGGAGCAACGCGGCGAGAGUGAGAAAGGGCUACGGAGCGUAAAACUCUAAUAUUAGAGAAGAACAAAAGUGUAAGUAACGAGACGCGAAUGAAGGGAACCUAAGAAGAAAGCCACGGCUAAUUACGU
rnacentral:rRNA from 1 species